rnacentral:ncRNA from 1 species
CGCCAAGCUCAGAAUUAACCCUCACUAAAGGGACUAGUCCUGCAGGUUUAAACGAAUUCGCCCUUGGUUACCUUGUUACGACUUCACCCCGAUUACCAACCACACCGUAGGCAUCUGCCUCCACUAUCAAUAGCGGUUAGCUCAACGACUUCCUGGCCCUAUACUGACGCUGAGACGCGAGAGCGUGGGUAGCAAACAGGAUUAGAUACCCUGGUAGUCCACGCCGUAAACGAUGUUCACUAGGUGUUGGGGGUAUUGACCCCCUCAGUGCC